rnacentral:tRNA from 1 species
GCCUAGCUGGCUCAGUGGGAAGAGCAUGAGACUCUUGAUCUCAGGGUCUUGAGUUCAAGCUCCACACUGAGUG